rnacentral:rRNA from 1 species
UGAACGCUAGCUACAGGCUUAACACAUGCAAGUCGAGGGGCAUCAGGAAGAAAGCUUGCUUUCUUUGCUGGCGACCGGCGCACGGGUGAGUAACACGUAUCCAACCUGCCCUUUACUCGGGGAUAGCCUUUCGAAAGAAAGAUUAAUACCCGAUAGCAUAAUGAUUCCGCAUGGUUUCAUUAUUAAAGGAUUCCGGUAAAGGAUGGGGAUGCGUUCCAUUAGGUUGUUGGUGAGGUAACGGCUCACCAAGCCUUCGAUGGAUAGGGGUUCUGAGAGGAAGGUCCCCCACAUUGGAACUGAGACACGGUCCAAACUCCUACGGGAGGCAGCAGUGAGGAAUAUUGGUCAAUGGGCGCUAGCCUGAACCAGCCAAGUAGCGUGAAGGAUGAAGGCUCUAUGGGUCGUAAACUUCUUUUAUAUAAGAAUAAAGUGCAGUAUGUAUACUGUUUUGUAUGUAUUAUAUGAAUAAGGAUCGGCUAACUCCGUGCCAGCAGCCGCGGUAAUACGGAGGAUCCGAGCGUUAUCCGGAUUUAUUGGGUUUAAAGGGAGCGUAGGUGGACUGGUAAGUCAGUUGUGAAAGUUUGCGGCUCAACCGUAAAAUUGCAGUUGAUACUGUCAGUCUUGAGUACAGUAGAGGUGGGCGGAAUUCGUGGUGUAGCGGUGAAAUGCUUAGAUAUCACGAAGAACUCCGAUUGCGAAGGCAGCUCACUGGACUGCAACUGACACUGAUGCUCGAAAGUGUGGGUAUCAAACAGGAUUAGAUACCCUGGUAGUCCAUACAGUAAACGAUGAAUACUCGCUGUUUGCGAUAUACAGUAAGCGGCCAAGCGAAAGCAUUAAGUAUUCCACCUGGGGAGUACGCCGGCAACGGUGAAACUCAAAGGAAUUGACGGGGGCCCGCACAAGCGGAGGAACAUGUGGUUUAAUUCGAUGAUACGCGAGGAACCUUACCCGGGCUUAAAUUGCAGUGGAAUGAUGUGGAAACAUGUCAGUGAGCAAUCACCGCUGUGAAGGUGCUGCAUGGUUGUCGUCAGCUCGUGCCGUGAGGUGUCGGCUUAAGUGCCAUAACGAGCGCAACCCUUAUCUUCAGUUACUAACAGGUCAUGCUGAGGACUCUGGAGAGACUGCCGUCGUAAGAUGUGAGGAAGGUGGGGAUGACGUCAAAUCAGCACGGCCCUUACGUCCGGGGCUACACACGUGUUACAAUGGGGGGUACAGAAGGCAGCUAGCGGGUGACCGUAUGCUAAUCCCAAAAGCCUCUCUCAGUUCGGAUCGAAGUCUGCAACCCGACUUCGUGAAGCUGGAUUCGCUAGUAAUCGCGCAUCAGCCACGGCGCGGUGAAUACGUUCCCGGGCCUUGUACACACCGCCCGUCAAGCCAUGGGAGCCGGGGGUACCUGAAGUACGUAACCGCAAGGAUCGUCCUAGGGUAAAACUGGUGACUGGGGCUAAGU